CGGGUCGUAAAGCUCUGUCAGAGGGAAAGAAGUGUGUGGAGGCUAAUACCCUUUGCACUUGACGGUACCCUCAAAGGAAGCACCGGCUAACUCCGUGC
rnacentral:rRNA from 1 species